CGGUAUCCUGGGAAUAAGCAUCGGCUAACUCCGUGCCAGCAGCCGCGGUAAUACGGAGGAUGCAAGCGUUAUCCGGGAUUCAUUGGGUUUAAAGGGUGCGUAGGCGGACUAUUAAGUCAGUGGUGAAAUCCUGCAGCUUAACUGCAGAACUGCCGUUGAUACUGAUAGUCUUGAGUUUGGUUAAGGUAGGCGGAAUGUGUAAUGUAGCGGUGAAAUGCUUAGAUAUUACACAGAACACCAAUUGCGUAGGCAGCUUACUGAGCCGACACUGACGCUGAGGCACGAAAGCGUGGGGAUCGAACAGGAUUAGAUACCCUGGUAGUCCACGCCGUAAACGAUGAUUACUCGCUGUUGGCGAUACACUGUCAGCGGCUAAGCAAAAGCAAUAAGUAAUCCACCUGGGGAGUACGGCCGCAAGGCUGAAACUCAAAGGAAUUGACGGGGGCCCGCACAAGCGGAGGAACAUGUGGUUUAAUUCGAUGAUACGCGAGGAACCUUACCUGGGCUUAAAUGUAGAGUGCAUUUUUUAGAGAUAGAAAUUCCCUUCGGGGCUUUCUGCAAGGUGCUGCAUGGUUGUCGUCAGCUCGUGCCGUGAGGUGUCGGGUUAAGUCCCAUAACGAGCGCAACCCUUAUCGUUAGUUGCCAGCGGGUAAUGCCGGGGACUCUAGCGAAACUGCCACCGUAAGGUGAGAGGAAGGUGGGGAUGACGUCAAAUCAGCACGGCCCUUAUGUCCAGGGCUACACACGUGUUACAAUGGUCGGUACAGAGGGCAGCUACCUGGUGACAGGAUGCUAAUCUCGAAAACCGGUCUCAGUUCGGAUCGAAGUCUGCAACUCGACUUCGUGAAGCUGGAUUCGCUAGUAAUCGCAUAUCAGCCAUGAUGUGGUGAAUACGUUCCCGGGCCUUGUACACACCGCCCGU
rnacentral:rRNA from 1 species